UUUGAGACAGGGUUUUUCUGUGUAGCUUUAGAGCCUGUCCUAGAACUUGCUCUGUAGACCAAGCUGGCCUCGAACUCAGAGAUCUGCCUGCCUCUGCCUCCCAAAUGCUGGGAUUAAAGGCGUGCACCACCCCCACCCAGCUCUUUCCUUUUUUAGUAUUUAGUCAUUCUACACAUUUGUGUCUCCUCUUCUGAGACAUUUUUCAUGGACCUUGGCAUUUCUUUUCCCCCUAGUCUCCGUCUUGGGUUUUCCCCUCAUCUCUCUUCGCUAAUCCCCUCAGAGAUCAAACCCCACCUUCAGGCUCGUCGAAACGUUGUUGGUGCCUUUGGCUUCUCUGUCCCACGCUGGUGCUAAUUCUUCUACCCAAGCUGGUGGGUCUUUAGAACUGCUUGCUCUUUCUGCCUCCUGCUUAACAAAAUCCUGGUGUGUUUCUUUGAAGACACAGUGUUCGUUCCAAAUUCUUAUUUGCUCAGCACAUUACUGCUGUUCCUCCCAGCACUAUCCAACAGCUGGCUCCUUUCCCUACGGACCAUGUGGCUAGGGACAACCACAGGGGAAGGUGUACUUCUGGGUUUCCACAGCUGUGUCCUUAUCAGUGAGGUGAAGGCAAAGAGGUCCUUGUCUCAGGGCAGAGCCUCCAGCAGGGCCACCUGGGCUCAGAGGUGUCCCUGCGCUCGCAGGAGCCCCACUGUCAAGGAAUCUCCCAGCUAGGUGCUUCUCCUUCUCAGACUGCUUUUACCUGGGCUUAGGAAAGAAUCAAAAUGGGAGAAAGUAAUGGUUAGUGUUCCAUUGUUAACCUGACAGAAUCUGAAAUGGCCUGAGAGACAGCCUCCAUGGGCACCUAUAAGGCAUUAUUCAGCUAGCCUCUGAGCAUGCCUGUGCAGGGGUUGUCUAGAUUAGGUUAACUGAGGGAGAGAAAAGAGAAGGCUAGCUGAGCCUCAGCGCUCACCACUCUCCUUCCUGACUUCAGGGGCAAUGCCCAGCUGCUUCAGGCUGCUGCUGCCUUGACUUCCCCGCCAUGAUGGACAGCACCCUGCUACUGUGAGCCAAGAUCAACUCUUCUUCUCUAAACUGCCUCUGUCAGGGUAUUUUUUUUCAUGGAAACCCAAACUGAUACAGGGACUCAGCCCUGUUCCUCUUGCCUUUGCUCCAGUCCAGCUCACUUCACCCUGUCUUGAUGCCGACCUAAAUCCAGAGACUGGAGUAUAUCUAUAUCUGCAGAGCUACAUUUCCAUCCAGGGCGACAAAAAAAGGGUACCGUCUCAUGCGGAAAGUUCCUCCUUCCCUCAGCCUGGGCUCAUCUCUGCACAGGCUCUACAUCAUUUCUACCUGAAGCUUCUUCUUUUGCUUGCAUCUUCAAUUGCACUGGGGACAAAGGCCAGCAUCUCAACUUAUUGGCCAUUUCUUCUGGAAGUGAGGUGGUUCCUCCUACCUGUCAAUCAAGGUCCCUUCUGGAGCUAGAGACCAAUCCGGAUGAUGUUGCCAAGUCCUAAAGAUGAGACCCGGGAAGGAAGGCUGGGUAGAGCCUGUGGCCUGUGGCCUCUUACCAUAAGAGUUUUGCUCAGCUUUUCUGCUCCUCUUUCUAGCCAUGUUGUAACCUGACACUUGAGUCCAUAGUCCACUGCCUUGGUUUCCCUGUACUCCAAAAGAAAUCAGAAACAGAAAGUGGCAAAGGAAAGUGAAUUUUCUAGAGUUUGGACAAACGAGGGAGAGAAAGAACCCACUCUGUCACUGCUGUGUCUCUGGCAGUCAAUUUUAGGAGGAGACAAAGGCCAGGUGACACACAGAUUUAGCUGUGAGGAACAGCUGUCUGUCUUUUCCUGGGAGAGAGUGACGAAGCCCCAGGCUGCCUCCAUUCUCAGAUGGAAGGGUCUGUUCCAAAGUUCCAAGUUACGCUAUUACCGCAGGCAUCUCUCAAGCAGUAUUUGUCCAGCACUGGCUUCCCAAAGCCACUAGGUUUUCCUGGCAGGAGUCUCCACUCUCCAUUGCCUUCCAUGUAACCCUCUCUGUCCUCGGUAUCUCUCCCCACAGAAUUCUCUAAAGUUAUCUGGGAGGUCUUUCUUUCCUCAUAGACAAAACUGUGAGGUCCACAAGGUCACACAGUACACAAUGGUGGGCUAUGCAGUGAGUGUCUGCAGAGACUGUUCUCAGGUGGGUUAAUGUCUUCUCCCAGCCUCUCCUGCCUCCUAACCCUUAAGUAGGAGUGUUCCCCCAAGUCUUCAGCUCCACCCUGCCCUCUGUGGCCUCUUGAUCCUGACUUCCUCAGCACUCCUCCAUAGUGGCUUUAUAACCCUGGACUUCUGCCUCUGCACAUCUUCCUCAGAGUGCUUUACUUUGAAUCUCACAUCUAGCUGGCCCUCUCUAAGGUGGCCAUUCCCUUCAAGUCCACUGUCACUGUGGUUGACAAGAGCCCAUGAGCAGCCGCUGUGAUUUCCCCAACUGGCCUUGCAGCCUCUGCUCUUCCCUUCCCCCACCCAGUCUCUGAAAUGCAGACAAGCAGCUAUUUCACAAACAACAGUCUAUAGCACCCUUCUGUGCAAGGCUGCCCAUUCGUUGGCUUCAAAAUCAAUUCAGGACAAGGCAGUUAGGAUGGCAGCCUAAGCUCUGAUACCCCAUCCCUGCACUGUCUCUGCCUCUGGUGAGGGGUUGUUGCUCGUUUCCCAGGAGGCUGUGACCCUGCUUCUCUUCAGUGCUUCUGGAACCUCGCUGAUUGCUCCCCCAGCGAGGGUGUAAACACCUUGUCCUUCACUUCUGUUUUUCUAACAGCUCUCAGAAUGCUCCGACCUACACUAGAAAUACUGGAUGAAUGAAUGAAUCAAUGCUCUGCUCUGUAGUUCAAAACCUGCCUCAAGUAUAUUUGUUAUGGUGACAUCUUGGUGUCAGAGUGGAAGGUCAGAUAAAUGUUUUUAAAUUGUUAUUUGACAAGUUCAGAAAAAGGGAAAGGACAAAGGUCUGGGAAAGAAAUGGACUGCGUAUUGGCUAGCUACUUACGGCUUCUUAGUAGGCAUCUUUAGGAAAUGCUACGGCAUCUAAUCACUACUGGAAAACUCCAAGAGGUUGUUUGCUUUGUUUCUUGCUGUACCAGGGAAUAGAACUCAGAGCCUUGUGUGCUAGACAAGUACUCUAGGAGAUAAGGGCUGUCCAACUGUUAUAUCUGUCACCCCAUUGAUCAUCAGGAUCAAUGCGGCUGAUUUGCUGAGCUAAGCAGGUGUCCCCUUCCUCUCUCACUGCUCGUGUGUACCUUUUGCAAGCUGCACUCGAUUGAAGAGGACAAUCUUUCCUAAUGGAAGAGGCCCACUCUUUGGUCAAGGGUAUACGAGGAUCUGCAUUCCCCUGGAAGAACCUCUAAACGAGUUCCUAAGGUGUCAAAGAUGAAGGUUCCUAAGUGCGGUUUGAACAGAUAAAUUUUUUAGCGGAACUACCUUCUAUGAGGCAAAUAUGGCUUCCCCAGGCUGUCCAGAACUAACAACAGGCUUUCUUCUGUUUCGAUUUCUGCUUGGAAGAAAACCAAUGAUCUUUCACACCAUCUUUAAAUUCAAUGGUACUAAUGCAUAUAACCAAAUAAACUUGCAUCAUUAAAACAGAA